UGAUACACCGAUUCUCGUAAUAUCCCCGAAGUUAAGUAAAGUUGAGCCAGAUCACUACCUUGAUGAGUGACCGCUUGGAAAUACCAGGUGCUGCAA